GCGUGGUUAUACAAUGCAGACCUCUCGAGUUCAUUGCACUCAGUGUUUUCCAUUAUCAAAAGAAGAUUCAUGACUCACGGAGGCCAUAAAUGAAACAUGGCAUACAGGUCUCUGCUUAAAGGAUAGCACCAGAAAUACCAACAUUGUCAUGGACAUGAACUAAAACAGAAUCCGCAUGAAACUCAUGAGCAACAGUGAGAUGACAAAACAUAAGAAUAAUUUGAAAAGGCGAAGUUACACGUAGAAUAAUUUGGAAGAGGCGAAGUUACAAAAUUGAGGAAAGAAACUGGAAAAUUGAGGAAAGAAACUGAGGGCAAUAUAAAUCCCAUUACAGACAACAGGAAGAAGAGCUGGCUUUGUGGAAAACGGAGACAUGGAGAGAGAUUUGAGAAAGUCGAACACAAUGCAAACAGAAACAAGGCUAAAAGGUGUAAUUAAUUUGAAAUAAUGGAUGAAGCCAGACUACGCUUUGAACAAAGAAAAUUUAUGCACUAGACUUUUUUAUGGGGAUACAUAAGAGAUAAAGUUUAUGGUACAAAACGGGCAACAGUGGACACAUUGAGGGCACACAAAUACCAAAUGAAAUGGUCCUUGGUGUUUGCGAUUCCAUUGCUUCACAUUACCAGCAGGGCCUGGACCACAACGGUCAUCAGUUUGGAAACAGGCACUGACAAAAAAAUUAUUCAUCUCUGCAGAUUCCUUUAAAUUUUGAACAUGACCUGUAUGUUAAUAAACACUGACUUUAUAACCACUCAAAGUGUGUAUACGCUUUUGGGACA